rnacentral:rRNA from 1 species
CCUACGGGCGGCAGCAGUGGGGAAUAUUGGGCAAUGGGCGCAAGCCUGACCCAGCAACGCCGCGUGAAGGAAGAAGGCUUUCGGGUUGUAAACUUCUUUUCUGAGGGACGAAGAAAGUGACGGUACCUCCGGAAUAAGCCACGGCUAACUACGUGCCAGCAGCCGCGGGAAUACGUAGGUGGCAAGCGUUCUGCGGAUUUAUUGGGUGUAAAGGGCGUGUAGGCGGGAAAGCAAGUCAGAUGUGAAAACUCAGGGCUCAACCCUGAGCCUGCAUUGGACACUGUUUUUCUUGAGUGCUGGAGAGGCAAGCGGAAUUCCUGGUGUAGCGGUGAAAUGCGUAGAUAUACGGAGGAACACCAGUGGCGAAGGCGGAUUGCUGGACAGUAACUGACGCUGAGGCGCGAAAGCGUGGGGAGCAAACAGGAUUAGAUACCCCUGUAGUC